GUCCCAGUAGCUCAGUGGAUAGAGCGGCUGCCUUCUAAGCAGCAUGUCGCGGGUUCGAAUCCCGCCUGGGACCCCA
rnacentral:tRNA from 1 species